rnacentral:ribozyme from 2 species
CCUGUAGCUCCUCUAGAGUUACUGCCGGUCCCAAGCCCGGGUAAAGGAGGAGGGUAGG